rnacentral:rRNA from 1 species
GUAGGGAAUAUUGCGCAAUGGACGAAAGUCUGACGCAGCGACGCCGCGUGAGUGAUGAAGGCCUUAGGGUCGUAAAGCUCUGUUGAAUGGGAAGAAAAAAAUGACGGUACCAUUCGAGGAAGGACCGGCUAACUUCGUGCCAGCAGCCGCGGUAAUACGAGGGGGCCUAGCGUUGUUCGGAAUCAUUGGGCGUAAAGGGUGUGUAGGUGGCCAUGGAAGUCAGUGGUGAAAGCCCCUGGCUCAACACGGGAAGUGCACUUGAUACUGCGUGGCUUGAUGACCGAAGAGGGUAGUGGAAUUCCAGGUGUAGUGGUGAAAUACGUAGAUAUCUGGAGGAACACCGGUGGCGAAGGCGGCUACCUGGUCGAGUACUGACACUGAGACACGAAAGCAUGGGGAUCAAACAGGAUUAGAUACCCGGGUAGUCC